rnacentral:rRNA from 1 species
GACGAACGCUGGCGGCGUGCCUAAUACAUGCAAGUCGAACGCAGUGGGGACGGGUGAGUAACACGUGGGUAACCUCCCAUCAGAGGGGAUAACACUUGGAAACAGGUGCUAAACCGAUACUUCUGGCUGGUCCCGCGGUGCAUGAGCUAGUUGGGGAGGUAACGGCCACCCAGGGCCACGAGGCAUAGCCGAGCUGAGAGGUGGAUCGGCCACACUGGUACGGAGAAACGGCCCAGACUCCUACGGUAGGCAGAAGUAGGGAAUCUUCGGCAAUGGACGAAAGUCUGACCGAGCAACGCCGCGUGAGUGAUGAAGGUCUUCGGAUCGUAAAACGCUGUUAUUAGGGAAGCGGGAAAUAAAAAGAAAGCCACGGCUAACUACGUGCCAGCAGCCGCGGUAAUAG